UGCCUGUGCUGUUCACUGCUGAAUUCAAGUGCAUAAUAGCAUAGUGGUGGGCUCACAGCACCCACUCCGUAAAAAGUGGUUUAAUGAAUGAAUGGCACUGCCCUCACUUAGAGCUGAUCUUUCCAUAACUUUUGGAAGAAAAGCUUUCCUCCUUACAAUGUAACUGUACAGAAAUUGCCUCCAUUUAGAAAUGUACCAAUGAGCAGAGAAUGAAAAGGAAGAGAAGUAUGGUUAUAGAGAGCAGUGGCACCUCUAGCACUGAGAAGCAAAAGGCAGUUGGGCACCAAGGUGAGAUGUAUUGUCUUUGUAAGGGUGACAAGGCCGAGUGGAUAAAAGGAUUAUAAAUACCACACAUUGCAUGAUGCCACAUACCUUUCAUAGGAAUGUCUCUUGCAUUUUGCUCAUCUAAAGUCCUCAAAGGCAAAGCGGGAAGACUGAGUAGGUAUCAGCUCCAGAGUACAUAGAAAAAUGAUCACUGAGGAGUCGGGAGAGCAGGCUGCUAGUGGAGCUCGCAUCAGAAUCCAGGUCUUCUCAUGCUAUUGAGAAGUUGAAGAACAACAACAAAAGAACCCGUAAUCUUAUUGAUUGGGAUGUGCUGAAAAUUUUAACUGAAGUAUAUUUUCUAUAGCACUGAAAUUCAAUGCCUUUGAAAUGGUAACUCAUAGUACUGAAAGAUUCAGUUCCUUUCCUCAAGAAGCUUAAGAAGAAAUGCACAUAUGUGAUUGCAGAAAGCUAUGAUGGGCACCUUAAAAGAUUUUCGUGAGGACUAAAUAAGUACUUCAAGUACUGAACUAAUUACUGUCAUCCUGAGGAGUGUAAUGAAGCAUACAGUCAAGUUGUUACAGUUUGAAAAGGUUAAAGCAGCUUCGGGGAUCAUGAUUUGUGCUUCUUGGGUACUGGAACAUCAUGCCAGUAAUAAACGAUAUGAAAGCCAAUGACAAAGAAGCAAUUAGUUCUCUGCAUUGGUGAAAGGCUGCCCAGCUACAGAGUGGAUGGUAAAGGCCGUGAAUUCUUUUCAUUUGAGGUUGAACUGAGUCACGAAGACUCAAGCCAGGGGUGAGUAAAUCUUGUCAGCCUGUCAGCAGCAUUUAUUGGGUUUCCACCAUCUGAUUAUCAUAUAAUUAGGUCUAAACAAGUCCUCAAAAGUUUAGAAUACAUGUUCUAUGAUGUCAGUAAGCAGCUUGGAGUCAGUAACCUAACCAAAGUGUACUAUGCUUUGGUUGAGACUUAGAUUUGGAGUAGACUAUGUAUCUUACAAAACAAUAUUUUUGACUUGAUCAGUAACAAAGAAACUACGAGGGUAGGUAAUUUCAUGUUGACCAUACGUCUCUUUCAAGUUGUUGAAAUGUUUACAUAUUUCACCAAUGAUUUUGGUGCUUCUAGGAUUCCGAUUGCAUUUUAUUUGCGAACAACUAUUAUAUGCCAGUCACUGCUUUCUAGCAGUAGAGAUAUAAUGGUAAAGAAGAGUUAGUUGGUUCUCUUCAGAAUGUUACUGUCUAUGGGACUUGCCAUGGACAGAGUGACAGUGUGCUAAAUGAUACCCUGCUACUCUUCCCACUAAAGACAACACAGGAGAAAUAUCUCUGGCAGAUCCAUCACCGAAUCUGUAGAGAACAAUCUCUUAAGGCGUGGCAGACACAGAAUCCUAGGAGGAGUUGGGCUAGAUGGGGGCUCCUCCCCGCAGUCCUUGACCUUGUAAAACCUUCUACUUCUCUGAGUUUAAAGUAUACAUAAAUCAUUGUGGGAUCUUGUGAAAAUGAAGAUUCUUAUUCUGCAGAUCUGGGAUGAAUCCUGAGAUUGUGCAUUUCUUCUAGGUGAUACUGAUGGUUCUGCUCUGUAGACCAAACUCAAAAAAUUCCCAUUGCAUGGAAAUAUCCUUAGACAAACACUUGACUACAGUAUAAAUGACCUAAAAUCAGUUUUUUAAAAAAAAUUUAUGAGACAUAAUGUGGUAAAGUAAUAAGGAAGAAAAUAUCCUGGCAGGGUAGAAAGAUGUAGUCUCAGAAAUACAGUAGUGUGGAAGUGACCUUUCUGAGAAAAUAUAUCUUGGGGAGGAAACUACAAUGAAAGAAGCAAGCAAUAUUUUCAAUCAGCAUUAAAAUAUGAAUGCAGAUGAAGCAUGUAGCCUGAAGAUGACAGUAGAUAAAUAGCAUUUUUUACUCUGGAAUUAUAAAUUAUCUUUCAUGCCAGCAAACGUUUAUGUUUUCCUGGGUUUCUUGGUUAACAUAGCUUACUGAAAGGGAAGCAUAGAACUUGUAAGCUUUUAAAAGGUAGCAGAAAUCAUGAGAGCUGCAAAGUCUUCACUAAUAUUUGUGCUACUCAGCAAAUUUAUUAUUUGAUUCACCUAUCCCAAGUUGACACCCUUCAGGGAGGGGAAAGUAGAAUUUUUGCAGAGGUAAGUUUCCUAAAGACUUUAAAAAAUGGCUUUACCUUUGGGACUGUUAGGCCUAAUUGUAAAUAAAUUCUUGCUGCAUUCACAUCAGCAGUCCUGGAUUAGUUAAGAGCUUUACUUGUGUGUGCCAAAACACAUUUUUCAAAAAUGGCUGAAACUAUGUAAUCAGCAACUUCGAGUUUGAUAGAAAAUUACACAGAAAUCAGGACCCGUUUCUCCUUGUCCUAGCACCCUGCACUCAACUAAAUGAUGACUCUUCCUCCUAAGGAAAUAGUCAUUAUAUCUUCAAAACACUUACAGAUUAUUACUAUGCUUGCAUUUGGCACACUGAACAUAUUUUGCUCCUUUUCUCUUGUAUUCCUUUUUUGUUUUUUGCAUUUUAAAUCAGAUAUCAAUACUUCUGGUUCCAGUGAUUUUUUUCCCCUUCGAAGUUACAGCAGCUACUGUUUUUGAAGACAAAGUAUAAGAAACAUUUUUUCUCUUUUGAAUGAAGUCUGGAACUUGCUGAAAAUAAUGUCCUUGUACAAUGAUUUCAACUUGGCUGACUACAACACUGGUGUCCACUGAGGGUUGAUGCUUUUAAAACUGGAUAUGAACUGAACUCCCUAAACACAUCUGAGAAAGGUCUAAAACCAAGUCUUACUAUAAAAUAUAGAUCGUAUAUGUGUGUAGUUGUGUUUCUGUACAUUUUAAAAACAUUUCCUUAAGGAGUACACAUCAGUAAACACCAGUGAAUAGAACAACAAAGAAGUUAAAAUAUUCUUCAGACCCCUAGGGCAAACACAUGUCUUUGAAAAAAAUCACAACACAGAGAACGCGGGUCUAAAAAAUAUACUAUUAUCCUAUUUUUUCCAACUUUCAUAAGGGCAAGAGCCUCUUGUCAAUACAGGAAGUUUAUAUUAUUAGUUCAUUGUACAGUGAUGUUUCUCAAAGUGUAGUACACUAACUUGGAAUAUUUGUUAAAACUGCUGAUUCUUGGGCCUAACCCCAGACCUUUGGAAUGAAAGUCAUUGGAUUAUGUAUUUUCUGUAAUCAUUCCUAAGUAAAUCGUAUGUAACUGAAGUUUGAAAACUAUUAGCAAACUAGGUAAGAAAGAAAAGUCUACUUGAAACUUUCCCUGGGAAUAGCAAGGAAGCUCUUUAAAGAAGUCUACGUAUUAAUUAGCUAAAAGUGCCAUAUAUCUACUCAUCUUACCCUAAAUUUUUUUCCUUUUAUUUUCAGUUGACAUGUAAUAAUUUUGUAUAUUUAUGGCAUAUAGUGCACACAAUGUGUAAGGAUCAAAUCAAGGCAAUUAUCAUAUCCAUCACUUAGAAUAUUGAUCAUUUGUUUGAGUUGUGAACAUUCAAUAUUCUCUCUUCUAGCUUUUUGAAAAUAUACACUAAAUUAUUGUUAACCAUAUUUACUCUAGAGUGUUAAAUAACACUAGAACUUAUUCCUCCCAUGUAGCUGUAACUUUGUAUAUGUUAACUAGUCUCUUCCUAUCUUCCUCUCCUGCCACCCUUUUCAUCCCCUAAUGAUAACAGAGAACAAUAAUACUAUAAUAAUAAAUAUAGCUCAUAAUACUUCUAUGAGCUAUAUUUUUUAGCUCUCAUACAUGAGUGAGAACACAUAGUAUUUAUCUUUUUGUGCCUUUCUUAUUUCACUUAACGUAAUGUCCUCCAGGCUCAUCUUUGUUGCCACAAAUGACAGGAUUUCAUUAUUUUAAUGGUUGAAUAGUCUUCCAUUGUGAAUAUAUACCACAUUUUCUUUAUUCAUUCAUCCCCUGAUGGACAUUUAGAUUGAUUCCAUAUCUUUGCUAUUGUAAAUAGUGCUGCAAUAAACAUGGAGGUACAGGUAUCCCUUUGACACAUUGAUUUCCUUUUCUUUGAUAAAUACCCAGUAGUGAGAUUGCUUUAUCAAAUGGUAUUUUUAGUUUUUGGAGAAACCUACAUACCAUUGUCCAUAAUGACUGUAGUAGUUUAAUUGGUGCUAAUAGUGUUCAAGAGUUCUCAUUUCUCUGCAUCCUUACCAGGAAUUCUUAUUUUUUGCUUUCUUGAUAAUAGCUUGUCUACCUGGGGUAAUAUGAUAUUAUUUAUAUUUAUGUUUAUAUAUAAAUAGAUUGGUAAAUGUAAGUAAGUGUUUCCAUGAGUUUUGUGAGCUACUCUAGCAAAUUAAUCAAACCCAAAGAGGGGGUCAUGGGAACCCCAACUUAAACCCAGUUCAAGAGAAGUUCAUGGUUUUUGGCUUAUAACUCCCAUAUCCCUUGUUACCAAUUUUUUUUUGUUGUAAUGAAGCAGAAUCUUAGGACUGUAUUUAAUUGUGGAUGAUAAGACCCUCAUUUAAGACAGGGUCCUGCCCCAAACUUGGGAGUAAGAAACACUGCACAGAGAGGCCAAGAAGAAUCUGUAAAGAUAGGACUUGCUGCAUUUAGAUCAUACCUUUUAUGUUCAGUCACAUUUCUACAUGGUUGUCAAUCAUGCCUAUCCUAUGAAGUCGCCGUAAAAGGUGCAAGAAGACAGGAUUUGGGGGAGCUUUCUGAUAACUGAACACAUGAAGAUUACUACAGGGUGCUGCAUCCAGGAAGGACAUGGGAUCUCCAUGCUUCUUCCCACAUACCUUGCCUUAUAAUAUCUGUAUUAGUCUGUUCUUGCACUGCUAUAAAGACAUACCUGAGACUGGGUAAUUUAUAAAGGAAAGAGGUUUAAUUGGCCCAUGGUUCUGUGGGCUCCUACAGGCUUCUGCUUCCAAGGAGGCCUCAGAAAACUUACAAUCAUGGUGGAAGGUGAAGGGGAAGUAGACACAUCUUCACAUGGCCAGCAGGAGAGAGACAGAACAAAGGGGGAA